CGGACGACGCUGGCGGCGUGGCCUAACACAUGCAAGUCGAGCGGAGAUGUACUGAAGAUUUAUCGGAUGUACAUCUUAGCGGCGGACGGGUGAGUAACGCGUGGGCAACCUGCCUUUCACUGGGGGAUAACACAGGGAAACCUGUGCUAAUACCGCAUGACAUCACGUAGGGCAUCCUAUGUGAUCAAAGGAGAGAUCCGGUGGAAGAUGGGCCCGCGUCCAAUUAGCUGGUUGGUGAGGUAAAGGCUCACCAAGGCGACGAUUGGUAGCCGAACUGAGAGGUUGAUCGGCCACAUUGGGACUGAGACACGGCCCAGACUCCUACGGGAGGCAGCAGUGGGGAAUAUUGCGCAAUGGGGGGAACCCUGACGCAGCAACGCCGCGUGAAGGAAGAAGGUCUUCGGAUUGUAAACUUCUUUGAUGAGGGACGAAUAAAGUGACGGUACCUCAAAAACAAGCCACGGCUAACUACGUG
rnacentral:rRNA from 1 species